GCGUCGGUGAUGUAACCGGGAGCAUCCCAUGUUUGGGUGGGUGUGCGGGUCCGAGUCCCGUUCGACGCA
rnacentral:tRNA from 1 species